GCCCCGAUAGCUCAGACGGUAGAGCGCAUCCUUGGUAAGGAUGAGGUCUCGGGUUCAAAUCCCGAUCGGGGCU
rnacentral:tRNA from 1 species